ensembl:snRNA U4 U4 spliceosomal RNA
AGCUUUGUGCAGUUGGCAGUAUCAUAGCCAAUGAGGUUUAUCUGAGGUGUGAUUAUUGCUAAUACAAGUUUUAAGACCUAAUCCCAUCAGAAUAAAUUCAAGUUUGAAACCAGUAUAGAAGG